rnacentral:rRNA from 1 species
AGUGAACGCUGGCGGUAGGCCUAACACAUGCAAGUCGAACGGCAGCACAGUAAGAGCUUGCUCUUACGGGUGGCGAGUGGCGGACGGGUGAGGAAUAUAUCGGAAUCUACUUUUUCGUGGGGGAUAACGUAGGGAAACUUACGCUAAUACCGCAUACGACCUACGGGUGAAAGCAGGGGAUCUUCGGACCUUGCGCGAUUGAAUGAGCCGAUGUCGGAUUAGCUAGUUGGCGGGGUAAAGGCCCACCAAGGCGACGAUCCGUAGCUGGUCUGAGAGGAUGAUCCGCCACACUGGAACUGAGACACGGUCCAGACUCCUACGGGAGGCAGCAGUGGGGAAUAUUGGACAAUGGGCGCAAGCCUGAUCCAGCCAUACCGCGUGGGUGAAGAAGGCCUUCGGGUUGUAAAGCCCUUUUGUUGGGAAAGAAAAGCAGCAGGUUAAUACCCCGCUGUUCUGACGGUACCCAAAGAAUAAGCACCGGCUAACUUCGUG